rnacentral:rRNA from 1 species
UACAGAGGGUGCGAGCGUUGUUCGGAAUUAUUGGGCGUAAAGGGCGCGUAGGCGGCGCCACAAGUCACUUGUGAAAACUCUGGGCUCAACUCAGAGCCUGCAAGCGAAACUGUGGUGCUGGAGUAUGGGAGAGGUGCGUGGAAUUCCCGGUGUAGCGGUGAAAUGCGUAGAGAUCGGGAGGAACACCCGUAGCGAAGGCGGCCGACUGGACCACACCUGACGCUGAGGCGCGAAGGCCAGGGGGAGC